GCUGCAGCACCUAUAAAAGCUCUGGAGAGAGGGGAUGAGCUGUUGGAGGGGUGCUGGGGUUCCCCUUGUCUGUGUCUGUGGGUGACAGCCCAGCCCAGCCCGGGGGUCCCAGGAAGGGUGUGUGUCCACAGCCACCCUGUCAGAUGCAGGAUUGAAUCCCAUAACCUGCGGUACUUCUGGCUCUGGCUGCUUUUUUUUAUUGCUAAUAUACUGCUAAUUGCACUCUGCUGUGUGGUGAUACUAAUAAAGAGAGAUUUAGAAAGCAGGAGGCUGGAGAGAGUAAAUCAAGGGCACGGCACAGCCUCAGCUCUCUGCAUCGCAAUUACCCACAGCACGGGGACAGGGUGAGGGACCCCACCCCAGCACCUGCACCUGGGGUCCCCACAGCACCCCGAGGUGCUGGUGGCUGGGAACCUCAAUUCCUCCCUGGCGCUGGAGUGCUUUGUGCCCUCCAUGGCAACAGAGUUUGUCCUGACCCCUUUCUCCUCUUGGAGCUGUGGCCCUGCUGCUUUUUUUAGUUGUGCUGCCGUGGGAAUUCUGCCUGCAUCCAUCCCUGCUCCUGCCUGUGUCCUGUCUGCAUCUCAGCCUGCUCCUGCAGCCCACGAGUGCCAGAUCUUCUGGACUGACUUCAUUGAAUUCAUUAGUGGGUUCUUAGGCCAGGAGGAGGGAAGGUCCUGCCUGAGCCCCAGGCCCGUCACUGAAGUGAGUGUGCUUCCCCUGCCACGAUGCCUUGGGGCCCUUUGGGAAGGUACAAGGGACAUUUUAAGAAGUUCUGGGGACGUUUUUGCCCUUACCUCUCUUGCAGAAGGCGGGCAGCACCACUUGCGGCUCUCAGCGUCUUUAUCUCAGCGCACCAAUUUAGCUUUUCCCGAACUCAGUCCUGCAGGAGCACCUCGCUGCUUCUCCCUCCAUGGAUAUAUUUAGGUAUUUUCCCAUAUCCAAUUAAUCCAGCCCCUGCCUCGCUCCAUCCUGCCUUUCAUCCUCCUGCAAUAAAGCAUCCUUUGUUAGCAGCGCGCUGCCGGCCGCGUUCCUCCGCCAGGUUUGCGUGAAACGUCCCCAGGCCCUGCGAGGCGGCCACGUUCAUUACCC
rnacentral:lncRNA from 12 species